UACGGAGGAUGCAAGCGUUAUCCGGAAUGAUUGGGCGUAAAGCGUCCGCAGGUGGCUGUGUAAGUCCGCUGUUAAAGAGUCAUGCUCAACAUGAUAAGAGCAGUGGAAACUACACGGCUAGAGUGCGUUCGGGGCAGAGGGAAUUCCUGGUGUAGCGGUGAAAUGCGUAGAGAUCAGGAAGAACACCAAAGGCGAAGGCAGCGUCCUGGCAAGUCACUGACGCUCAGGUGCGAAAGCUAGGGGAGCGAACGGG
rnacentral:rRNA from 1 species